GCUACCCUUCGGGGGCCUGACGAACCGGCGCGGUCCAGCCCAGGCCCAACCUCUCAGCUCCUCAGCUUAUGGGGCGGACGCAGGCCGCAGCGCUUGGCCCGGCCUCUCUGCCCUGCAUCUCUCGGGCCGGGCCCCUCUCCACCGCCUGCCGCCUCCAGCCCCCGGCGCGCCCCUCACUCAUCAGGGUGCCAACCUAGGCCCAGCUCCCGCUCCCGGGUCUCUCCUCAACGGCUCCUUCCUCCACCUGCCCCGCCUUCUUGGGACCCCGCCCCACAAAGGCCAGGCGGGGCUCCUUAUUGCUCCGUCUCGCCGUCACGCUGAGCUCACUUUCUUCAAUUGGGUUGCUUGUCUGUCACUCAAGAAGGGGUGGGCGCACCUGCGGGUUGAGGGGGAAAACUCCGGCCGUUCCCGCCCCUCUGGUAGCGGCCUCUUAAAGAAACAGGACGCCUUUCCCCCGCCGGUACGGGGUCUGAAGGAACGUGAUUUCCUUGCAAAUGCAAGAGGCAGCUUUCUUUUUCCCCAAAACUUUUUUUUUCUUUUUGGUAUGCAGUCUUAGAGUGAAGGAAAAGGCUUUGGUUCCCUGCGUCAAAUCAUAGGUUGUGAGCUCUAAGCAGUCCUCUGGUGACACUCGGCCCUGUGCCCAGCGGGCACUUACUGCACACUUAACAGUGGGGAUUGGGGAACUGAGUGGGAGUGACAUUCGUGUAAGAGGCUGUGAGCAGCCGCGCUGCUCACCACCGAGUUGGGCUGACCGUGGCCGCUGAGCAGAGGCAGAAGGGUACAACCCGGCUGUGCUUUUGGAAGGGAUCCGGGAGGUGACAUUCGUCACUGCACCUGCGGAUCGGAACAAGGCCAGGCACCGCGCCAAGGACUCACUCCUGCUGUCUCUCUUCAUGCUCACAGCAGCCCUGUGAUGGAGACAGCACCCUGAUCCCUUCGCUGCAGAUGAGGACACAGGUUCACAGAGGGUCCGAGAUCUUACAGCUGGAGACCGGGUUUCCGGCAAGGUGCAGUGACUCACCCUGCAAUUCCAGCACCCCCGGAGGCCGAGGCCGGCGGAUCACCCGAGCCAUUUCAGCUUGGUUAAGAACAUUGCUGGGGAACUAGUGCAGUCAUUUGGAGCACCCCUUCACCUUCCACCAGGGGAGAAAGCCCCCCAGGAGACUCACCAGAUGCAGAUGCAGGGGACUUGCUUCUCAGGCAAGCUGCACAACUUUCCAAUUUCUGAAAGAAAAUAGCACAAAAUGCCUCUCUAAAGAAGCUUGUGAAGAUUUACCUCUUAACUGUGUUUAUGUAAACCCAUCAUCAUAAGCCAUUGUGAACAAAGGAACUCCUUCUCAAAGAACAAGUACAAACAAGGGCCAGACUGAAAAGACUGGAAUAAAUGCCUAACUCUUCAAUGCCCAAACAUCCACAAGUAUCAAGAACAUCCAGGCAAACACGACCUCACCAAACGGACUUAAGAAAGCACCAGUGACUGAGCCUGGAGUAAUGGAAAUAUGGGAGGAAUGAAGAAUUCCUCAGGUGAGGAAUUCAAAUAACUGUCUUGAGGAAGCUCAAUGAAUUUCAAGAUAACACAAAGAAGAAACUUAGAAUUCUAUUUAAA